rnacentral:tRNA from 1 species
GAGGGGGUAGUUAUAAAAUAACUUAAGGUUGUCAAUCUUAGACUUGCUGCGGCCCCCCUCA